GAAAAAGAGCCCCCAAAAAGGAUGAGUGUGGGCGGAUAACCCCUGUCUGAAGGAACUGGCAGGGCUAAUGACUCCAGAAGUGCCGUGGGAUUUUAUACAGCCCGAGGAAGUGGCUCAGAGGCAACUUGGAGAGUUCGACUUGGUUUCUGGCCUCGCAGAAUAAAAAUCCUCAAACCGUGCGCACAGUUCCAUGGCUGGGGGUGAUCUCCGUUCUGUGUCAGGAGCCUGGAGCCCGGCCAGAUGGCCGCAGUCUUCUCCCACAGUGUGUGGCCUUGUGUAGUGGCUGAGGAAGCACAGGGAUGGAGGGCCUGCGAUUAUGGGCCUGACCAGAAACAUCAGGGCUCGGUGGGGCAGCGGACACCACAAGCACAUGGGGCUGAAGCCUGGCAGUGGGCUCAACAGAGCCCCGGCUGAUCCCAAACCCUGAGAUGGCAGUGCUGUGGCGUGCAGCAUCCUCUCCUGAUCCUCUUUCAUCCCUGUCUCUCAGGAGCAUCCUGCUCAGGCUGGACAUGCAGCAGCCACAAUUCAGGGAAGCGGUACGCAGGCAUGUAUACAUGGAGAGCAUCCUUCGUUAUGCAAACUGCUCUGCAGGCACGGAGGGAGCCCGGCCCUCUGAGAGUCCUUUCUCUGCAUGCCCUGUUCCUAUAUGUGAUUAAGUUCUCUGCUCGCCCACUGCACUUAGGGCUCUUAUUAGCGGUAAGCACAUGCUCCGCGGGAUGGCUCUUGCAUGCGGAACUACAGGAAGAAGCACUGCCUUCUGCUCGCAGAAACCGGCAGGAUUUUUUGCAGUAGCUGGAAGAUGGGAAAGCUAUUAUCUUGUCCAGCCUCUGGCUGCAUUUUGAUAAAAAUCCUUUGUCCAAUGACUGCGAAGUAUUUUGCAAGUACAGGCGGGUAAAUCCUCGACAGACAGGCAUUAUCUGGCCUAUUUUUACAGCUGAGAAUUCGCAGCCAUCAGACCCAUCUAGGUGAUGGUGCUGUCUUCACCUGGUGAUCUCCUCAGCUGAAUGAAUAUGUCAGGACCAGUCCUUUCAAAUGCAGUCCCAGUUUGAACACAGCCCUCCAGUGUGUCUGGAUAAAGUCACACUCUUCCUACCUCAGCCUCCCCAUCCAUAUAACAGGGCGAGUUUGCAAAUCACAGGAGGAUCUGCAAAAUAUGCUCAGGUGCUGGCCUGCUUCUCGGGCGGAAAGGAGAAUUGGUUGGGAUGACAGACAGAGAGAGAAGAGAGCCUCUCGUUCCAUGGAAGGUCCCUUCUGUGGAUGAGUGGAGCCACUGCCUGCUGUGGGACCCUGGUGCUCUUCAGUGGGGCUGAGGAGCCUGAUGUCCAGCGGUGCUCUCUUGCUGUGUUUGGCCAUGACCUUUUUUUUCCUCUCUGUUCUCACCCCAAAGCCACGCAUCAAACUACAUGGCUGUGUCAGUUCCUGGGACUGGAGGUCAGCUUUGGCAUCGUGCCACCCAAACGUGUGAGGCCUGGUUAUAGCUCCCAGUGGGGUUUUCAGAGCUACCUCAGCCUGCAAACUUCACUUAGACCAACUCCGCUCUGUUCCUAACGAUGUCUGGCUACCACGUCCGCUGAGCAACAAAGGGGAUGUACGCUGGGAAGAGAAAAACGAGACAAGGCUGGGGUGAGAGGCUCAGCCAUCCCUGGCUGAAAUGUUUGAGGUCACACUGGAGGCGGCUGGGGUCUGGCAAAGGAAGAUUCAAAUACUCCUGGGACCUCUGAGGCUUCCUGGUCAUUCUGUAGCUGCUGGAUUUGUUUUCACCUUGCAAAAUGGAUUGAAGUGCUUUUCACCAGAACUCCUCGCCCUUCUGCACGGGGAUCGAAGAGCUACGCUGCUUGGUUUGUGUGACAGAAUGACCGCAGGUGCUGUAAGAAAGCAGGAAAUCAUCUUUGUAAAGCUGUCCAGAAAGCCUUGAAUUCAGGUACAAGCCUCAUGUUUAUAGGAACAUAAAAGGAACCAUGGAAACUAAAUAUAGGUCGGAGCACCUGCAAGUAGAAAAAGGAUCGGGGAUUGGAAAGUUACCCUGACUUCUCUGCCUUUGGCUUUGCUCUGCUGGUUUCAAACUUAUUUGGGGUCCUAGACUCUGCAGGAGCCUUUGGGAUCCAUGUAAGGAAGGAAUUUCUGGGGAAAGCAGCUGACAAAAGAUCUCUUUUAAAUCCUGGCUGUGCCUUGGUCCUUUGGCUUUAUCAUUGAGGGCUUGUUCCACCAGGGUCCCAUGCUGUUUGGUCCUAAGUGAGGUGCUGCUGGUUGUGGUGUUCCUGUUGAGCCCCAAAAGAGGUCAGAUACCUGGAGAGGAUUUGAGAGCUUUACAUGUGUUGUUGACCUGGACCUUACGCUUUGCUCCCCCCUGUUCCCUUAUCUAGAGGAUUAUCCCUCGGAGUGCUGCGUGCCCUCCUGGGCUCUUAGCAUGGAUUCAGCUCCUCUGCAGUCCUCAGCUUCAUCACAGGAAGCUUCUUCACCUAGCUGCUGCCAGCAUGCUUUUGGCGACCCUGAGUGUCCCGUCAGCUGUUACAGGCCAUUAAAGGAUUUGUUUCUCGGCGUAUGAAAAGGCUUAAUUCAAUUCUCAUUCUCUCCUGGCAUUCCUCAGAGCAAGUACCCAUCAUUCUCCUUUGUCUCAAAAAUAUCUGUGAAUUUGUCUUCCCAGCAGCUCCAUGAGGAAGGGGAGCGCUGCUCUCUGCUUAGAGGGCUGGUGAAGGCACACGGUGUGCUGCAGUCUGGGGCUCGACGCUGCUGCAGAGCAAGAGGUGGGGAAUCUGUGUCAGGGAGCUUCUGAGAACACAUUCCCGAAAGACACAUCAAGAGAUAAACAAGCAAGCCUGGAAAACUACUUUUAAUCUGUGAUGCUGCCUGGAUAGCUGCAGAUGUCUCGCUGAACGCUGUGCCCUUUGAAAUUAGUCGGGGUAGUCAGGAAGGGGUUAACAUGUUUGCCCUGUGAAGCAGCCAAAAUGAGUGCAGCCAAAACUCCAGCAAUCAGAGGCAAGCAACAAUUAUUAACGCCUCGGCAUUUAAUGUGGCAGAUCGCUUCCGCCCCCAGUUAUAUCGUGUGCUCAAUUCCAGAGCACUCCAAGUUGUCAGUCAGCAGGUCCAUAGAUCAUGGCGACCUUAGCAUCAUGUCAAGGGGCUUCACUCCAUCAGGGAUAAUGAACAUCUCCCACCGGUUUCUUCCCAUCAUUCAUUUGAGAUCCAGAAGUUCAUCAUGCAAAUGACAAACAAUGUUAAUUUUCUGCAAAUAAUUCCUCCAGAUGUCCGUGGGACUCCAGCGCUCCUCGCCCAGAACAGUAAAAUAUGUUUGUCUUCCUCCCUAUAAUUCAUCACCAGGCCUGCAAAUCUCCCCAAACUCUCUAUAAACAAAGCAGGAGGCAGAGCACAGAGCCUGAUAGUUCGCUGCAGUGCAGACGUGUCUCGUGCUCUCUCAGCAAUGCACGUGGGAGAAGGAGUGGAGUGGUGGAAGAGGUCAAGAAGUUCCUUCUCAGCUGAGCUGACUUUGUGCUUGGCCUUGCAAAUGUGUGUGAGAUGGUCUGAGCCAAGCCUUGCACAAAUGCAAGUCAACGUGAGAGGAGAAACUUGAAUAUUUCUGUGCUUAAAACUUAAGACUGGCCUUCAGGAACGGCUGCAUCUCCAGUGAAACCUGCUGCGAGCCUUAUCUGCGUCACUAGGAGACUUGCCAUUGGAUGGUAAGGCUUUGCCGUGGCUCUGUAUCGAGCUGCUCUCGGAUAAGUAGUGAGGCAAAUAGGCAGAGCUUGCUUGGUUUCUCCAAGCAUCUUUCAAGCUCCCUGAACUCCAGAUCCAGCCAAAAAUAUAUGAAGAGCUGAAAUCCCCAGGGUGAUUUGGGCUACAGUGCAUAAGAAAGAGUUUUGGCUUGGACAGAUAUGAAGAUGACGCAGAAAUUAGUUCCAGCAAGUACAUCUGGAAUAGGGCAGACCCACGAUGAAGCAGCCAACAAAACAGUUGUGUUUUUUUUGUUUUUUUUUUACUCACAAGAAGUCAGCAGGCAGGUAGGACAAAAAUACCAAGAGGAUGGUGCAAAUCCUGGUCUCCUGCCAGAAUUCCAGCAGAUCUAAAGCUCAGGAGAUGUUGUAGGUGCCCAGAUUUGCCACUUCUUCCCCUACUCCUGCCAGCCAUUGAAUGGCACGGAGCCGCUCCCUCCCCUGCUGCCCUUCUCACUCUGGAAGGGUUUUUAAAGGUCCCUCUAAGUGGCAGCUGCUGUGUGGCUUUUUGUUUUUUUGUUUUUUAUGAUGAGCUGGAAAUUAAUUUCUUUUUUGCUGGCAUUGGACUAUCUGUUCCCAUGUCGCAGUGCAGAAUGAGGUCGUAACUCUCUUGACUGCCUCGUAGCUGAGUUAUGGGGUCUUCUGUAGUGCAGCCCAAAGGGUUUAAUUUAAGUACGGGUGUCUUGAAGAAAGCAGAGAAGUGACAACUACCUAGUGCUUUUGCAGUCCAUACACUUGGAAACUUUUACUACUCCUGGACUGAAAGGGCCCUUGUUUUAAAUUUAAAAUUAGGAUUUCUUGUCCUUCCCAUAGCAGUGCUAGGAACAGGUUUUUCCCCCUACUUCCUUUUUGCUUGUCUGAAGAUGUAGCCACGUCUUCAGCUUUCCGUCUUUCCUUUCCAACCAUCUCCCAUAGAUUUCCACUCGCUGUUGUCUGUCUCCUUUGGACUGUCUCCAGCUGUUCAUAUGGUCUCAGAGACCAGCAUCCCAGGCAGGACAUUAUGCUCCAGCUGAGAUCUUAGCGGUGCAGAAGACAUGUGAGGAUAACCCGGACCACUUACGCGUGACAUCUUUGUCUGCUUUGAUCCUGGUCGCCCUUGGCAUGAUCUUGAACCUGUUUUGGGGCAAGUGGGGUGGUGUUUUGGUUACUGUCUGGGCCACCUGUUGGUGUCUCCUCGUUGCCGCACACGGGCACUAAUCAGGCCAUCUGCUGUAGGAACCCGUGGCUCGCAUCAGGGAUGCUCGGGUGAGCAAAUAGGAACGGACAAAAGAUGCAGCCUGCUUGCGGGACCCGAUGGUCAUUAACCCCUCUGUGGAUGUUCUCCGUGUAGGCUCCUUCGUGAGGCCAUUUGCGGGGCGCUUUAAUAGGCGUGCAAUGCCUAUUAAUAUGCAACCUGUGUUGAGUCACACCUUAGCUGAUUCGCCUUAGCUUUCCCAGCUGUCUGCUUGCAGCCAGAUUGAUGCAGUGUGGGCAGCUUGUCUGGAAAGUCUAGAGGCUGGAAGAGCAACCAGCAACUUGGAUUUAACCCUUUUUGCUAAAUGCAUUGUUGUCUUUCACCUCCCUGUGGCUAGGACUAAGAGAAUUGGCAAGUGAUCCCUUAUCCUUGCUUUCUUACCUCUUAUAUCCCUUAUCUCUUGCCUUCUGCAGGCCCCAUGCUGUCAGCUCUAUGCUUCCCGAUGGCCUUUGGCUCUUCCCAAACAACAGAGGCUAACUGCAAGUCCAGGGCUUCCUCAAAAUCCGUCCUGGCCUGGCUGUGGGUGGGAAGAGUCACCGGCAAGCUCUGCCUGGAUGGUCCUGCAGAUCUGCAGGACAUGGGGCCAGGCCCUGGAUGUGACACCAGGGGCUUUGCUGCCUUUCUGGUGUUCUUUCUGCAUGGGGGGAAUUAGUGGGGUUGUGCUGGAGCACUCGUCUACUCCACAGAGCAGUGGAGGAGCCAUGGGGGAAGAAACAAACUCCUCAUCCUUAGCUCUGUCUUUUUGUGCUUUCUACUUACAGCUAUCAUAACUACCAGAUGAUUUAUGCUUUUUUUUUUUUUUUUUUUUUUUUUUUUCUCAGCCCCUCUUGGUCCCCUUAUUGAGCAUCUUAACAGCACUCUCCUAUGGCUUUGUCCCUAGUGUGGCAGCAUUUAAUCCUGUUUUGUUUGUUCAGCUGAGUGGGUCACUGGUUUUACUGGGCUUGCAUGAAGGACAGGGUAAAGAUCCAAGUGCGGUUCAGGAGUUGGGCUGUCCUGGGCUCUUCCAAGGGGAUGACUUUAUUUCUACCAGCUUUGGCAUGCCUUGACUUCGGGGUGUGGAGAGCAAAAGUGAGCUGUGUGGUUGUGAAGCAGGAUGGCAAAAACAGUCAUGAGCAGGACAGGAUUUGAUCCCAGCCUGCCUGCUUUCUGGCUAACCCUGCUGGAGCUGGUAAGGAGGGCAGGUCCAGCUGAUGGACUGUCUAAAGACAGAAUGAGAUGCUCAGGUUGUCCUCCUCCUGUUCAGGACUGGGCCUAAACUAGAGAAAGGUCUUCAGGUUUUGCCAGAACCAUAUACCAUCCUAGCAGUAAGGAUGGAAAUGUGUAUUUACUGCGAUACCUCGGUGUAACUCCUCAGGAGAUGCUUAAGUACAAGAUGUGCCUUUGAUUUAGCUUCUGUCUCCGUGAAAAUGACCUAAGAGAACCUGUGGAAAAAACUAAUGUUACCAAGGAGUUCAGCCCCAAAUGUGGAAGUAAAUCAGUAUAACCCUCUUGGUUUGCCUUUACCAGUCUGCCAGGCAGUCAUCUAUUUCUGGCUUUGCUUAGACUCUGCAGUCCAAACCCUGACACAUUCUGUGGGACAGCCUCCCUCUCAACCUCAGCCUUGUCUCCUGCAGUCAGGUGAUUAGAUGAGACUCUCUUUCAUGUAAGUACUUUUUUAUCUUUCUCAUCUGUGGAGGGGAGCCAGCACAUGUCAUCUUUAAAGGCAAGGAAAAUGGAACCAGCAUUUUGUAUUCCAGAAAUCUCAUUAUUUUUCAACUAAUAUGCUGAUUUUGGAUGCCGGGGUUUGGCAGCGACACUGAGGGUCAUUGCUGAACAAAGCAGAAGCGGGUCCAUCCUGGAGAAGCCUGCGUGGAAGAGAGCCUUGCUCAUUAGAAAAUCCCCAGGGGAGCAUUGCAGGAGGAGAUGUGGGUGACAAAUCCUUUGGAAAAAUCCUUGCCUCUGCUUCCUCAGGGGACCCAGGAUGGUGCCAAAUCUCACUAGCAAAGAGGUGAUUGAAGCUGAGGAACAAAAAAGUCAACUCUUACAGGGGGAAAAAAUGCUCAAAUGUCAGUGUCUGAACUGACCGUCAAGAGACCAAGGCAAGGACCAGCUGCUCCUCUCGCUGUCUCUGUGAGCAGGUGCCUGCAUACAUAUAGCCACAAACAGACACUUCAGAGCAGCAAGUGCUGGUGUGUCUGGGAAGGCGGCGGGGAGGGGGCUGGCCGCAGGAGACCACCUACCCACCCUCAAACCAAGUGAGCUGCUGCUGGGGGACAUGGCCGGGGUGGACCUCAGUGACCAGAAAUAGCUCCUGCGUCUCCAGGAGGCCGCAGAUGGAUAGAAAGGAACAGGGAGUCAAGCACCCCUGAAGUAAAUGGAAUAAAGGAUGCGCUGUACCACGUGCUUACCUUCUCUCUUUGCAGAGCUGAAGCCCUGCAGGUACGUAGGAUACGUGAUCCAUCGGGCUGACAGCACCUCCUGGGACUUGACCUCACCAGGUAAAUCAGAAUUCCCCAAAAUGGGUCUGGCCAGCUGGGCCAUGUCACACACAAGCUGAAGGGAAGAUGGCUGUUUCCCACUACCAGGGCUUUUGGAUGCCUUGAGGCUGGAGGUGGUAAUGAGUGGGUCUGUGCAGGUCCUAAACGAGCACAUGGACUGCCUGCUCUGCCCCUAUGCAGCCUGU